rnacentral:rRNA from 1 species
UGGGGAAUAUUGCACAAUGGGCGCAAGCCUGAUGCAGCCAUGCCUCGUGUAUGAAGAAGGCCUUCUGGUUGUAAAGUACUUUCAGCGGGGAGGAAGGGAGUAAAGUUAAUACCUUUGCUCAUUGACGUUACCCGCAGAAGAAGCACCGGCUAACUCCGUGCCAGCAGCCGCGGUAAUACGGAGGGUGCAAGCGUUAAUCGGAAUUACUGGGCGUAAAGCGCACGCAGGCGGUUUGUUAAGUCAGAUGUGAAAUCCCCGGGCUCAACCUGGGAACUGCAUCGGAUACUGGCAAGCUUGAGUCUCGUAGAGGGGGGUAGAAUUCCAGGUGUAGAGGUGAAAAGCGUAGAGAUCUGGAGGAAUACCGGUGGCGAAGGCGGCACCCUGGACGAAGACUGACGCUCAGGUGCGAAAGCGUGGGGAGCAAACAGG